UACGUAGGGUGCGAGCGUUGUCCGGAAUUAUUGGGCGUAAAGAGCUCGUAGGCGGUCUGUCGCGUCGGUCGUGAAAACUUGGGGCUUAACCCUGAGCUUGCGGUCGAUACGGGCAUGACUGGAGUUCGGCAGGGGAGACUGGAAUUCCUAGUGUAGCGGUGAAAUGCGCAGAUAUCAGGAGGAACACCGGUGGCGAAGGCGGGUCUCUGGGCCGAUACUGACGCUGAGGAGCGAAAGCGUGGGGAGCAAACAGG
rnacentral:rRNA from 1 species